ensembl:misc_RNA Gm55342 predicted gene, 55342
UUAUAAGGAAGGCGUUGGUCCUCCGGUGCAGCUUUUUUCUCUAGAAGGACUUAGCACUGGCAUUUCUGGUCUUGUAAACACAGGACUUGAAAAAAAAU